rnacentral:ncRNA from 1 species
GGGGACCUUCGGGGCCCUAAAAGACCGAGCAAAACAAAUGCUCGAAACAUACGGUCGGGGCAACCCGACCUUGCUUAACGGAAGACAGAAA